AUGCAUCCCGUACACGCCGGCUCCUCCGCGCCGCCCGCGCCCGACUGGCGAUUGCUCACUACGUUGGCUCGCC
rnacentral:sRNA from 1 species